rnacentral:lncRNA from 1 species
GGCUUGAGGUCUUCGGACCAAUAGGGCAGCGAGAUUGGGUACUUUUGAGGUUAUCGUCAGUUGACGCAUGCAUACAGUAGCUGUAGUGUUUAUUUCCAGUACAUCUUUAUCUGUUUAUUGUAGCUACUGUUUUAUUUACCUGCAUCUAUACUUGUCAGCUCCUUACAUAUCUCUUUCGUUUAUUAUUGUUGCUACUAUAUUUCCACUGACCCGUGUUGUUGUAUAACUCUUCCUGAUCCGGUGAGUACUCCUCGCCUUCUUCGGCUUGCGGUACCCACUGGGAGGGGAGACAUGUUUACAUGUUCUCACCUCCCCCACUAUUUUUUCAGAUAUUGCGGGCGAUGAGUAGUGGGACGAGACGUGAGGCACGCGUGUAGCGGUCGAUAGAGCUGCCGACCCAGGUUAUUUCGGUAUAGUUAUUACCCCUAUUAUUUCUGUUGUUGCAUAGUUUAGUUGGUUUAUGUGGUUCAGUAUUUCAUUACAUUAAAAUAAAAGGAUUUCUGGAUGUUGUAAAAUAAAAGGUUUUCUACCCCUCGUGGUAGCGUUUUUAAAAGAUAAAAGUUUCCGUGUAGGGAACAGUUUUUAAAAUAUUUUCUGUGAUUUUUGUAUCUUAGUAUUUCAAAACCUGUUUCUGUGGUUGGAAACAUUUUAACUAAUAGAUGUGAAUCUGUGGUGAAUGGUGUGUGAAUAUAUAUAACGGUUGGUUAUUUGUAUGUUCAUUUGUUGUGGUUGUGCCUGGGUGACUUCUUGUACUUGUACGACGCCGUGCAAAUACAGGGGAGACUCUGUCCGUGUGAACAGUGGAUUCCCUGUAUUUGUGGCGGAUCUGGCAUACUCUGGGGUCAGGUUUUCAAAAAAAAAAAAAUUCAGACGCUUUUCCGCUUUGUUUUAAACUGAAAAGGGACCCCGGGGCGUGACAUUGAUACAACCGUAGAUAAAUCUAAUAUUAGAAAUUAAUCAUCCUAAAAUGAGGGGGAACACAGUAGGUAAAAAAUUAAGAAAAAGGAGUAUAGCACAUAAUCAUAAAGCUCUUGCAAAAUGCAAUAAAAAAUCAUGUAAGGCAUAAGCUGGAGCCUAAAAUUUAAGAUAUUCUAUGCAUAUGUCAAUAAUGAACCAAAUUCUAUACUAAACAUAAUUAAGAAUGUUGGCAUUCGGUUAAAUCGAAUCGGGUACGCCCAUAAGCGGGUUCGAUCCGAUGGAUAUUAUGUUAUCUAAUUGGAUUAGGAUUAAUCUCGCUUUCAAAUUGGAAAGCUAAUUAGAGAUAAAUCUAAUCAUAUUAGGAUAACAAUUAAUAACCGAUUUGGCUUUAUCUCCAACGCCAUUAGGAUUUUGGAAUUCUUUAUAAAU